rnacentral:rRNA from 1 species
AGCCACAGCUAUAUCACCCUGCAGCCCAAGACUGGUUGCCCACUGAAGCUAAGCAGGGCUGAGCUUGGUCAGUACCUGGAUGGGAGACCUCCUUGGAAAAAUAGGUUGCUGUUGGAA